AUUUACAUAGUAUAAAAAUUACAUUUAACUUCCAAUUAAAAAAUUUAAUUUAACUUAAUGUAAAUA
rnacentral:tRNA from 1 species